rnacentral:rRNA from 1 species
UACAGAGGUCUCAAGCGUUGUUCGGAUUCAUUGGGCGUAAAGAGCUCGUAGGCGGUCUGUCGCGUCGGCUGUGAAAACUCAGGGCUCAACCCUGAGCCUGCAGUCGAUACGGGCAGACUAGAGUUCGGUAGGGGGGACUGGAAUUCCUGGUGUAGCGGUGAAAUGCGCAGAUAUCAGGAGGAACACCGGUGGCGAAGGCGGGUCUCUGGGCCGAAACUGACGCUGAGGAGCGAAAGCGUGGGGAGCGAACAGG